GCGGGUAUAACUCAGAGGCAGAGUGUCAGCCUUCCAAGCUGUUCGUCGGGAUUUCGAAAUUCCCUAUCCGCUCCA
rnacentral:tRNA from 3 species